rnacentral:rRNA from 1 species
UACGAAGGGGGCUAGCGUUGUUCGGAAUUACUGGGCGUAAAGGGCUCGUAGGCGGCCAACUAAGUCAUACGUGAAAUCCCUCAGCUUAACUGGGGAACUGCGUCUGAUACUGGAUGGCUUGGAUUCGGGAGAGGAAUGCGGAAUUCCAGGUGUAGCGGUGAAAUGCGUAGAUAUCUGGAGGAACACCGGUGGCGAAGGCGGCAUUCUGGACCGACAUUGACGCUGAGGAGCGAAAGCCAGGGGAGCAAACGGG